GGGCACGUAGUCUAGCUUGGACAAGGCACCAGCCUUCGGAGUUGGAUGUCGUCGGUUCAAAUCCGACCGUGCCCGCCA
rnacentral:tRNA from 1 species